GGGUUCUAUAAGAAAGCAAGCUGAGCAAGCCAGGGGAAGCAAGCCAGUAAGUAACAUCCACCCACAGCUUCUGCAUCAGUUCCUGUCUCCAGGUUCCUGCCCCGUGUGAGUUCCUUCCCUGACUUCCUUUGAUGAUGAACAGCAGUGUGGAAGUGUAAGCUGAAUAAACCCUUUCCUCCCCAACUUGCUUCUUGGUCAUGAUGUUUGCAGGAAUAGAAACCCUGACUAAGACAAGUGUAGUUAGGGAUUACAUUGAUUUAGCAAAAUGGUUGCUGCAGGUUCUCCUCUAAGAUCCAUGACUUUACUAGCCCUGGGUAGUUGUUAGGUAUCCAACACUAAGCAUGAUUUCCUUCUUAUUGAAUGUGUUUUAAUUCCAAUAAUAGAGCUGUUGGCUACCACCGAGGUGUGCAUCCUUAGUGGGUGCUGUUGGUCAUUGUUGUGGUUCAUACGCAUCAUAGCUGGAUAGGACUGAUGGUUGCUUCCUUCCUUUGGAAGCUUGCAUGGCGCCUUCUAGAUCCAUGAAAGCUGCCGUUCAAAAGAGCAAGGAGGAUCAUAUGAAAGGAUUGGAGGGAGGAAGAGGAGUGAAAUGAUGUACUUAAAAUCUCAAAAAAUAAAACCUAAAACAACUAAAAAGG
rnacentral:lncRNA from 1 species